GACGCUUCUGACGCUGUUUGUUGUUCAGGAACGGCUUGACAAGAGGAUUACGACAUCUGAAGCCCAUGUCCAGGAUCAAUCUGUGUGUGGUGGCUCUUGAUGCACUCACUCCAGCCUCAGUCCACUCCUUGUGAAAGUCCCCAACACAUUUGCUUGGCCUUUUCCUGACAAUCCUCUCCAGGCUGCGGUCAUUCCUGCUGCUUGUGCACAUUUUUCUUCCACACUUUUCCCUUCCACAUAACUUUCUAUUAAUGUGCUUUGAUACAGCACUUUGGGAACAGCCAACAUCCUUCACAAUUACCUUUUGAGGCUUUCCCUCUUUAUGGAGAGUGUCAAUGAUGGUUUUCUGCACAACUGUCAGGGCAGCAGUCUUCCCCAUGAUUGUGAUUCCUACUGAACCAGACAGAGACCAUUUGAAGGCUCAGAAACCCUUUGCAGGUGUUAUGGCUUACUUAGGUGAUUAGAGUGGGACACUGUGAGCCUAG